AGCUUUGCGCAGUGGCAGUAUCGUAGCCAAUGAGGUUUAUCUGAGGCGUGAUUAUUGCUAAUUGAAAAACAGAAUUAGAACAGUCCUGACAGAAGUUAGGUCUUUGUUUUGUUUUCCUUUUUCAAUGUAAAGAUACCUAAGUUUUUGGAUUUAUUUUAAACUCAUUUCAGUCAUGGUCAAAAAUA
rnacentral:snRNA from 1 species